UAGGGAAUCUUCGGCAAUGGGGGGAACCCUGACCGAGCAACGCCGCGAGAGUGAAGAAGGUUUUCGGAUCGCAAAGCCCUGUUGUUAAGGAAGAACGAGUGUGAGAAUGGAAAGUUCAUACUGUGACGGUACUUAACCAGAAAGGGACGGCUAACUACGUGCCAGCAGCCGCGGUAAUACGUAGGUCCCGAGCGUUGUCCGGAUUUAUGGGGCGUAAAGCGAGCGCAGGAGGUUAGAUAAGUCUGAAGUGAAAGGCAGUGGCUCAACCAUUGUAGGCUUUGGAAACUGUUGAACUUGAGUGCAGAAGGGGAGAGUGGAAUUCCAUGUGUAGCGGUGAAAUGCGUAGAUAUAUGGAGGAACACCGGUGGCGAAAGCGGCUCUCUGGUCUGUAACUGAAGCUGAGGCUCGAAAGCGUGGGGAGCGAACAGG
rnacentral:rRNA from 1 species